CUACGUGCCAGCAGCCGCGGUAAUACGGAAGGUUCGGGCGUUAUCCGGAUUUAUUGGGUUUAAAGGGAGCGUAGGCCGGAGAUUAAGUGUGUUGUGAAAUGUAGACGCUCAACGUCUGACUUGCAGCGCAUACUGGUUUCCUUGAGUACGCACAACGUUGGCGGAAUUCGUCGUGUAGCGGUGAAAUGCUUAGAUAUGACGAAGAACUCUGAUUGCGAAGGCAGCUGACGGGAGCGCAACUGACGCUGAAGCUCGAAGGUGCGGGUAUCGAACAGGAUUAGAUACCCUGGUAGUCCGCACAGUAAACGAUGGAUGCCCGCUGUUGGUACCUAGUAUCAGCGGCUAAGCGAAAGCAUUAAGCAUCCCACCUGGGGAGUACGCCGGCAACGGUGAAACUCAAAGGAAUUGACGGGGGCCCGCACAAGCGGAGGAACAUGUGGUUUAAUUCGAUGAUACGCGAGGAACCUUACCCGGGCUUGAA
rnacentral:rRNA from 1 species